rnacentral:rRNA from 1 species
CCUACGGGAGGCUGCAGUGGGGAAUAUUGGACAAUGGGGGCAACCCUGAUCCAGCCAUGCCGCGUGUGUGAAGAAGGCCCUCGGGUUGUAAAGCACUUUCAGUGAGGAAGAACGCCUGGUGGUUAAUACCCAUCAGGAAAGACAUCACUCACAGAGGAAGCACCGGCUAACUCCGUGCCAGCAGCCGCGGUAAUACGGAGGGUGCGAGCGUUAAUCGGAAUUACUGGGCGUAAAGCGCGCGUAGGUGGCUUGAUAAGCCGGUUGUGAAAGCCCCGGGCUCAACCUGGGAACGGCAUCCGGAACUGUCAAGCUAGAGUGCAGGAGAGGAAGGUAGAAUUCCCGGUGUAGCGGUGAAAUGCGUAGAGAUCGGGAGGAAUACCAGUGGCGAAGGCGGCCUUCUGGACUGACACUGACACUGAGGUGCGAAAGCGUGGGUAGCAAACAGGAUUAGAUACCCGAGUAGUC